GACGAACGCUGGCGGCGUGCUUAACACAUGCAAGUCGAACGGAAAGGCCCUGCUUUUUUGGUGUGCUCGAGUGGCGAACGGGUGCGUAACACGUGAGUAACCUGCCCUUGACUUUGGGAUAACUUCAGGAAACUGGGGCUAAUACCGGAUAGGAUCUCCUGCUGCAUGGUGGGGGUUGGAACGUUUCGGCGGUUGGGGAUGGACUCGCGGCUUAUCAGCUUGUUGGUGGGGUAGUGGCUUACCAAGGCUUUGACGGGUAGCCGGCCUGAGAGGGUGACCGGCCACAUUGGGACUGAGAUACGGCCCAGACUCCUACGGGAGGCAGCAGUGGGAAAUAUUGCACAAUGGGCGGAAGCCUGAUGCAGCAACGCCGCGUGCGGGAUGACGGCCUUCGGGUUGUAAACCGCUUUCGCCUGUGACGAAGCGUGAGUGACGGUAAUGGGUAAAGAAGCACCGGCUAACUACGUG
rnacentral:rRNA from 1 species